AUGGCCCAAACUCGCGUAGUUGUAUCUCUUUGCUACAAUCCGAAGAAGUGGAGGGCAAGGAAAUUGAAUCUUAUUUACUGUCUGUACAAGACUAGAGUCAAUUGGAUUGCUGCUGGGAGAGCUCCAGUCAAGAUGGUGUUGCACAACACUGGUGCUUCGAACAAGGAUGAUGCCUUGUACAGGUGCAAGAUGCCCAGAAUCUUAACCGAAAUGCAAAGUUGUGUUAGGCAUCAACAUGAGGGAACGAAGAGCGAACAGGAGGCCACCUACUCACGCAACAGCCACACUCCACCGUCGUUCUUCUAUCCGAAGACCCUCAAGUAUACUGCUGGAACAACACAGCUGCUGAGAAAACUGUUGAAGAAGACGCAAUGGUUGCUGAUGGAGUAUACUUAG
rnacentral:rRNA from 1 species